CUGUGCAAUAAUAAUGAGUUCUUGUGCAGUAGUAACAAGCUACUGCAUGGUCAGCAUCUUGUGUAGACACAGCCACUGUGUAUAACAAGUAGAGCUGGAAAAUGAGCCUUGAGGGCCCCCAGAAUAACCAGACACUCCAAUUUUGUACUGAAUACUUGAUUUUCUCUCUCAUUUCAUUUUCAUCUCUGAAUGUAUGUAGUCUGUGUCUACUAAGCUUAUUGAUCUGUUCAAGUGCAAAUCCAACAGAAACUUUGAAACAUCACAGAUUGCCACAAAUGGACAGGCUGGAUUUAGUUAUGUAAGUACAACUUAGUUCAGAUGUCCUUCCCUCAGUUGUUCAAGAGCUUUUGGAGUUCCACUGUCCAAAAUUAUCUUUCCUUAUCUGGUACAACUGGGUAUACAAAUCUGUAGAAUCUGUAGAAGCCUACAAACUGCUGUACCUUCUUUUGGUUUGCUGAACUUUCCAGUCUCUUAUAAGGUUAGGUACCUGGGGCUGAUGUUCCAACCUAUCUCACAAUAGUCCCAAAUUCUAUAACCAUUUCUGCACCUAAAUAGCAUUUACCGAGCUACAUCAGUGCCGUUUUUGGCACUUAUGCACAGUUCCUGAUUCUUUUACCUGUGCAGUAUGGAUAUAGAAGCAUCUGCACAGCUACUGUGCAUGCUCAGCAGACUACAUGCUGGCCUAGUAGGUAUGUGGCUGCAUAUAUGUGUACGCUGGGCAUGCAUAAAACACAACAAUCUGCCGAGAAAAAGCCCAUGGCCUGUUCCAUGUUUUAGUCCCAAUAAUUGAGUAGUUAGGGCUUAUAUCUGGGAAGCAGAAGACUGGGGGUGGGGGAAGUGUACUGGUGGGGGGAGUUGAACAGAAUCUCUCUGACUUCCCAGUAUAGUGCUUAAACUAUUAGACCAUAGAUUAGGCAUUAUUCAUGCCCUUCUUGAGCCCUCCUUAAGAAGCUGACCCCUGGCCAGCCAAGAGAGGGAAAUGUUAGACUUGGAGGAAGCAAAGAUGUUAGAGAAUGUGUGGUUUAGUGAGGUGGCUAUGGAACGGUGACAUUUGGAGUCUUGCUCCCAUAGAGGCGGAAACAUCCUAACCAUUCUCCAUCCUUUUUAUUCAGUGACUGUUAUAUGCAAGUUGAAGCAGCUGGCCACUGCUAACCUGUUAAAGCACUCUGCUGGGAAGCCUGAGAGCAUGAAUGGCACCUGCCCCGGUGGCUGGUGGGGCACGGUUGUGCCGGCGGCAGCCCAGCGGUGGGAAUCAGGGAGCUUCCACAGAUGCUGCUGGCGCUGUUGGCAGGGGGGGGUGGUGGUGCGCAGGCGUGAUCAGGGACCGCCCACAGAUGCUGCCGGCAGUGCCGGCGGUGGGGUGGCAAGCGGUGACUGACCACGGCACCUUUUUGCAGGGAGUGCACCACCACACGUAGGGGCUGCACGUGCACCCGUGUGCACCCCCUAUGCAUUGCUUCUGCCUGUGAGAUACAGAUUCAAAUGCCCUCUGGGUAGGUGGGGCCUAGAAUAUGCAUCUCCUGAUUCUUAGACAAGUAUCCUAACUACUCAGUUGGCAGGAUUAAAACAGAAGGAGAUCCUUCUUUUGUUUGUCUCCAGGAUUCAUGCCUAGUUAUAUGUGUAGAUAGGCAUGUAGGUGUCUGGAUAAUGCAUAGCCUCCUGAGCAUGCUUAGGAUGCAUAUAGACACUUACCUGCAUGGGUAAUAGAAUUGCAACCUGGGUAUAAGUGCCAUUUAGGCACAUAAAACAUAAUAGAAUUCUGCCUUGUGUGUUCCAGGAAGGUGAGGGAAUUCCUUACAACUGGGGAAAUGUCAAGUUUAAACUUUGGUUCCUUCAACAGCUUUACAGUCUCUUCCAUUCCUCCCAUCUGCUCCUGACACAUUUUAUGGAAAUAAAUGAAGCAUGAACAGCACAUGCCCCCAGUGGCUGGGGGGGGCAGGGCGGCGACGGGAAUAUGGCAGCGUCUUUCAGAAUACUUAAUCUGCCCUCACAACAGCUAUUUAGUAUUUGUGGAAAUAUCUCAAGCCCUAGGAUCUGCACUGGAAGCUUUGGCAUCACCAUCCAAAAGCCGUGCAAGAUACUGGGCUGCAUUCUGAUCAGUCUGCAUGUUCACAGCGAGUGAGAUCUUGGAGUGACGUGCUCAUCAAGCCUUGCUUCAGUUCCAUGGAACAAGCCACCUAUCUCAGCUAUGUUACUUACAAAUAUGAGAGGAACAGGAUACUGAACUAGGACGGCCCAUUCAUCUUUUCUGGCAUGAUGAUUCCUACAUUCCCAAGUGGAAGUGCUGUGGCUAAUAUAUCCAAGCCUGCCUUACAUAUCUACAGGAACAAGAUUACAACUCAGAAUACAGACCCUAAGAUAUUACUGACCUUAUACACUUCAUCCUCUCACACAACAAUUUCACUUUUAAUAAUCAAC